CCGGCUCUGGCGCAGGUGGUAGAGUGGAUUGUCUACCAAUCAUAGGGUUGGUGGUUCGAUUCCCGGCCCGGG